UACGAAGGUGGCAAGCGUUACUCGGAAUUACUAGGCGUAAAGGGCAGGUAGGUGGUUUGAUAAGUCUGUUGUGAAAGCUCCCGGCUCAACUGGGAGAGGUCAACAGAAACUAUCAGGCUUGAGUAUAGGAGAGGGUACUGGAAUUCCCGGUGUAGCGGUGAAAUGCGCAGAGAUCGGGAGGAACACCAAUGGCGAAAGCAGGUACCUGGACUAUUACUGACACUCAGCUGCGAAAGCUAGGGGAGCAAACAGG
rnacentral:rRNA from 1 species